rnacentral:rRNA from 1 species
AGAAUCAACGCUGGCGGCGUGCCUAACACAUGCAAGUCGAACGAGAAAGUGGAGCAAUCCAUGAGUAAAGUGGCGACCGGGUGAGUAACACGUGACUAACCUACCUUCGAGUGGGGGAUAACCUCGGGAAACCGAGGCUAAUACCGCAUAACAUCGCAAGAUCAAAGCAGCAAUGCGCUGGAAGAGGGGGUCGCGGCUGAUUAGCUAGUUGGCGGGGUAACGGCCCACCAAGGCGAAGAUCGGUAGCCGGCCUGAGAGGGCGCGACGGACCGACGACUGGAACUGAAACACGGUCCAGACUCCUACGGGAGGCAGCAGUGGGGAAUUUUGCGCAAUGGGGGAAACCCUGACGCAGCAACGCCGCGUGGAGGAUGAAGGCCUUCGGGUUGUAAACCCCUUCAGCAGGGACGAAGCGAAAGUGACGGUACCUGCAGAAGAAGCGCCGGCUAACUACGUGCCAGCAGCCGC